GAUGAAGAACGCAGCGAAAUGCGAUACGUAAUGUGAAUUGCAGAAUUCAGUGAAUCAUCGAAUCUUUGAACGCAUAUUGCGCUCUCUGGUAUUCCGGAGAGCAUGCUUGUUUGAGUAUCAGUAAACACCUCAACUUCCAUAUCUUUUUUGAAAUGGGAGUUGGACUUGAGUGAUCCCAACGCUUUUCCUCACCGAAAAGUGGCGGGUUGCUUGAAAUGCAGGUGCAGCUGGACUUUUCUCUGAGCUAUAAGCAUAUCUAUUUAGUCUGCCUAAAAAACAGAUUAUUACCUUUGCUGCAGCUAACAUAAAGGAGAUUAGUUCUUGUGCUGACUGAUGCAGGAUUCACAAAGACGGCUUCGGCCGACUUUGUAAACUCGAUCUCAAAUCAAGUAAGACUACCCGCUGAACUUAAGCAUAUCAAUAAGCGGAGGA
rnacentral:misc_RNA from 1 species